AUGUGGCAGCAAACCUUGAUAAUUUAGGGAGAGCAAGACAGAAUUUUCCCAUUAGAACUUGGCUUGAGGUUGAAAAGACAUUUGGGGGAUACAUUGGAAUUAACCAUCGUCAGGGAUGCUGGCCAUGCCAUAAACCGUGAAAAGCCUGCAGAGCUUUGCCGACUUAUAAAGAACUACAUCAUCGACCCCUCGGUCAAUACCGGGAUGAUCACAAGGUACCAACGCGGCUUUAACUAA
rnacentral:rRNA from 1 species